GAUGAACGCUAGCUAUAGGCUUAACACAUGCAAGUCGAGGGACCGGCGCACGGGUGAGUAACGCGUAUCCAACCUGCCCAUAACUAAGGGAUAACCCAGCGAAAGUUGGACUAAUACCUUAUGGUUAUGGAUGGGGAUGCGUCUGAUUAGCUUGUUGGCGGGGUAACGGCCCACCAAGGCAACGAUCAGUAGGGGUUCUGAGAGGGGGACCAUGCACACUGGAACUGAGAAACGGGCCAGACUCCUACGGGAGGCAGCAGUGGGGAAUAGUGCACAAUGGGCGCAAGCCUGAUGCAGCCAUGCCGCGUGUGUGAAGAAGGCUGCGGGUUGUAAAGCACUUUCAGCGGGGAGCGUUACCCGCAGAAGAAGCACCGGCUAACUCCGUGCCAGCAGCCGCGGGAAUAC
rnacentral:rRNA from 1 species